AACGAACGCUGGCGGCAUGCCUAACACAUGCAAGUCGAACGAGACCUCCGGGUCUAGUGGCGCACGGGUGCGUAACGCGUGGGAACCUGCCCUUAGGUUCGGAAUCACUCCCCGAAAGGGGUGCUAAUACCGGCUAAUGUCUUCGGACCAAAGACUUAUCGCCUUUGGAUGGGCCCGCGUUGGAUUAGCUUGUUGGUAGGGUAAAAGCCUACCAAGGCGACGAUCCAUAGCUGGUCUGAGAGGAUGAUCAGCCACACUGGGACUGAGACACGGCCCAGACUCCUGCGGGAGGCAGCAGUGGGGAAUAUUGCACAAUGGGCGGAAGCCAGAUCCAGCAAGGCCGCGUGAGUGAUGAAGGCCUGAGAGUUGUAAAGCUCUUUUACCCGGGAUGAGAAUGACAGUACCGGGAGAAUAAGCUCCGGCUAACUCCGUG
rnacentral:rRNA from 1 species